GACCGGGUAGGCCGCCCUGAGGAGGGGUGACCGCCACACCUGGACUGAGAACACGCCAGACUCCUACGGGAGGCAGCAGUGGGGAUAUGCACAAUGGGCGGAAGCCUGAUGCAGCGACGCCGCGUGAGGGAUGACGGCCUUCGGGUGUAAACCUCUUUCAGUAGGGAAGAAGCGAGAGUGACGGUACUGCAGAAGAAGCGCCGGCUAACUACGUGCCAGCAGCCGCGGUAAUACGUAGGGCGCAAGCGUUGUCCGGAAUUAUUGGGCGUAAAGAGCUCGUAGGCGGUUUGUCGCGUCUGCUGUGAAAGCCCGAGGCUCAACCUCGGGUCUGCAGUGGGUACGGGCAGACUAGAGUGCAGUAGGGGAGACUGGAAUUCCUGGUGUAGCGGUGAAAUGCGCAGAUAUCAGGAGGAACACCGAUGGCGAAGGCAGGUCUCUGGGCUGUUACUGACGCUGAGGAGCGAAAGCAUGGGGAGCGAACAGGAUUAGAUACCCUGGUAGUCCAUGCCGUAAACGUUGGGCACUAGGUGUGGGGGACAUUCCACGUUUUCCGCGCCGUAGCUAACGCAUUAAGUGCCCCGCCUGGGGAGUACGGCCGCAAGGCUAAAACUCAAAGGAAUUGACGGGGGCCCGCACAAGCGGCGGAGCAUGCGGAUUAAUUCGAUGCAACGCGAAGAACCUUACCAAGGCUUGACAUUCACCGGACCGCCCCAGAGAUGGGGUUUCCCUUCGGGGCUGGUGGACAGGUGGUGCAUGGUUGUCGUCAGCUCGUGUCGUGAGAUGUUGGGUUAAGUCCCGCAACGAGCGCAACCCUCGUUCUAUGUUGCCAGCACGUGAUGGUGGGGACUCAUAGGAGACUGCCGGGGUCAACUCGGAGGAAGGUGGGGAUGACGUCAAAUCAUCAUGCCCCUUAUGUCUUGGGCUUCACGCAUGCUACAAUGGCCGGUACAAAGGGUUGCGAUACUGUGAGGUGGAGCUAAUCCCAAAAAGCCGGUCUCAGUUCGGAUUGAGGUCUGCAACUCGACCUCAUGAAGUCGGAGUCGCUAGUAAUCGCAGAUCAGCAACGCUGCGGUGAAUACGUUCCCGGGCCUUGUACACACCGCCCGUCAAGUCACGAAAGUUGGUAACACCCGAAGCCGGUGGCCUAACCCCUUGUGGGAGGGAGCCGUCGAAGGUGACUGCAGUUCC
rnacentral:rRNA from 1 species